UACAGGGGGGGCAAGCGUUGUUCGGAAUUACUGGGCGUAAAGGGUCUGUAGGUGGCCAACUAAGUCAGACGUGAAAUCCCUCAGCUUAACUGGGGAACUGCGUCUGAUACUGGAUGGCUCGAGUGUGGGAGAGGAAUGCGGAAUUCCAGGUGUAGCGGUGAAAUGCGUAGAUAUCUGGAGGAACACCGGUGGCGAAGGCGGCAUCCUGGACCGACACUGACGCUGAUGAGCGAAAGCCAGGGGAGCAAACGGG
rnacentral:rRNA from 1 species